CGAGCGUGCAAGUUUUGCAUUCCACCGCGCUUUGUUUAAGAGGAAUAGUUGACAUUCCGGGCGUUUCGGUAUAUUUUUCUUGUAGGGCUAGGUCCAAAAUAUUGUUGAUUCCGUUCCAACUCUGCUUUGGGUUGACAUCUAUCUGCCUGGUUCUGCUCCUGCUUUGCGACCAGCAUUUACAGCGAGCAUUGCACACUCCACUUUUUCUGCAAGUUUUGGGUGCGGCUCCCCGAUAGCAGCAAUUUAAUUUUAUAUCCGGCAUUGCCGGCAUUGCAUUUUACAAUAUUUUUGCUGCUACUACAUCGAUUUUAACAUCGGACACGGAGUAGGCAUGAGCGUAGACCAUCCCAAGUGAUACCAUCCUUGGAGCUACUUCAUUAGCCCAUUUCCCUUUUGACUGUCGUUUUUAUACACCCAACCAAGUUUUGUUUUUAUAUACCCAACCAAGUUUCUAAUAUAAUUCUUGUGUAAAUAUCUAAUAAUUUGUAUAUAUUGUCUCUAUUUGUAUUAUAAAUAAAACCAUUUCAUAUUUGUGAGACUACAGAAA